CAGUAGCCGCGGUAAUACAGAGGGUGCGAGCGUUAAUCGGAUUUACUGGGCGUAAAGCGUGCGUAGGCGGCUUCUUAAGUCGGAUGUGAAAUCCCUGAGCUUAACUUAGGAAUUGCAUUCGAUACUGGGAAGCUAGAGUAUGGGAGAGGAUGGUAGAAUUCCAGGUGUAGCGGUGAAAUGCGUAGAGAUCUGGAGGAAUACCGAUGGCGAAGGCAGCCAUCUGGCCUAAUACUGACGCUGAGGUACGAAAGCAUGGGGAGCAAACAGGAUUAGAUACCCGCGUAGUUCCUGUCUCUUAUAA
rnacentral:rRNA from 1 species